UACUUAAAGCGAGGUUGCCCUUUGUAUAUUCGGUUUUUUGACGUAGAAUAUACAAGGGCAAGCUCUCUGUGAGUA
rnacentral:pre_miRNA from 1 species